rnacentral:rRNA from 1 species
GCCUACGGGAGGCAGCAGUAGGGAAUAUUGGACAAUGGGCGAAAGCCUGAUCCAGCAAUGCCGCGUGAGUGAUGAAGGCCUUAGGGUUGUAAAGCUCUUUUACCCGGGAUGAUAAUGACAGUACCGGAGAAUAGC